GAGUUCACAUCGACGGGAAGGUUUGGCACCUCGAUGUCGGCUCAUCGCAUCCUGGAGCGGUAGUACGUUCCAAGGGUUGGGCUGUUCGCCCAUUAAAGCGGUACGUGAGCUGGGUUCAGAACGUCCGUGAGACAGUUCGGUCCAUAUCCGGUGUUAGCGCUGGAAUUUUGAGAGGAGUUGAACAUAGUACGAGAGGACCUGUUCAAAUAGACCAAUAGUGUACCGGUUAUCUUCCAAAGGUAAACGCCGGGUAGCCA
rnacentral:rRNA from 1 species